UUCUGCUCGUUGAUUACUCAUUGUUUUCACCUGCGUCUCGUUAGCAUCCUGUCGCCUGCCAGGCCUCAUGUCUUCGUGUUUCUGGAUAGUUUAGAUUUAAUCUCCUCACUUUUUGGAUUAUUUCUUUCCUUGGAUCACCAGCUGUCCCUCUGAUUGUUCACCAAGUAAAUAUUCCCUGUAUGUUUGCUGUGGUUAGCUGGACAUCAAACAGCCAACUCUUCACUCCAGAUGUUCAGAUUCCCAGCUGUUGGACUGCUCAGCGCCCUCCUCAUGGAUCUGAGAGGCAAAAAUAAUGGCAUCAGAUGUGCUCUUUCCUCAAAACAACCUCCAAGAUGUGAUCAGCAGAAAUGAUUUUUGAGACUGAGAGCUGAACCUUAAAGGAGCCGUCAUCGUGCUCCCAGCUGCCCUCCACCGUGAUGACGUGGCCUUGUCAGGACCUGCUGGCAUUUCAGGCUUCUCUGGGGGGACUGGAGUUAACAGAAAGGUGAAGCGUGAUUAAUGAGAAGAUGGACGUGAAAAGACAGCAGAGGAGGGAUGAGGGAGGAUGGAUGUGAAGCAGCAGGAUGUCUACAGACUGAUGUAAUCUCUGGGGUUUGCUUUGAUGGAGCCUCAGAUGGACUCACAUGUUCUGUCUUUAAUGCUGCUCCAAGUUCCCACUGCAGACCUUCACACUUUUUUCUGAUUUCCUGAUUGGCUUUUGAUGGAUUCACAUUCAUUAGCGGUUUUAGUCGAGUGUUUUCAACUAGAUUUUGAAUGUGUUUGUUCUGGAAUUGUUCCGCUAUGACACGAUGCUGCAGCUUAAACCUUCCCAAGUCACUGAAACAACCAAUCAGGACACGAUAUGUUCUGUUAAUAUACACUACCAUUGUAAUCAUCAGUUAGCCUUUCAACACCAAUAGCUAACACAAUGUAGCAUUACAACACAGGAGUGGUUGUUGCUGAUGAGCUAAAGUUGCUCUAAAAUGAGUUGAAGUUGCUCUUAAAUGAAUUAAAGUUAAAAGUAAAGUCUCUGAGCGAAGGGAGGGACAACGUGGUUCUGAUUCUGAUUUGGUCCAGAAAAUGACAGUUUGCUUCUGCCCACAUGAAUGAAUGGAUCUGUACAGCAUGCAAAGAAGAAAACAAGAGGACCAACAGCAAUAUGAGUGAUUUAGAGCAACAUAAUAACCACAAAUGUACCACAAAUGUUACACAACUUGGCACUAGGUGAGAUUUUUACAGUCUACUACUGUUUGAUUAUCACUGAUAAUGAUACAACGGGCUGCAUGAUUAUUAAAACCAUAAUCACAAUUAGUUUGAUCAAAACCGAGAUCACAAUUAUGGAUUAGUCUUUUUAUUGCACUUUUAAAUAACCGGAGUCCUGCUUUCACUUUACAUUCCUGCUAGUCUACAGAUCUGGAUCAGAACAGGUCUUAAAAUAUGACUUCACUUGGACUCUGAGCAUCUCCUAAAGGAGAAAUCUGCUUAUCGACACACACAACAAUUUACCGAUGGUCCCUAAACACACCAUAGACAGUGCAGAGAAGCCUCUAGUCUCCUCUCUGUGAAAUAAUGCAUUCUGAUGUCAGAUUUAGCCAAGUUGAAACCACUUAAUCGUAUCUACAUGGACUUUUUCCCUGUGACUGGAGCAUUUUCAACAUCAGUAUCAUGCUCAUUUAAUUAUUUGAAGCCAGAAUCACUCUUCAUACUGAAAUGAUUGUGCAGGUACAGUGAUGCGUGUCCACUGAAGCAGGUUUCCACAUGUGGAGCUUCUAAUGGAGGAUGCUGUGGAGCUGCAUGAUGAGGACUCAGUGUUUCUCCACCUCUGCUGCUUCGACCAUUUUCAAAAUUCUGUCUUUGAAACGUCUCUGAAUAAUCAGAGUAACUUCUUUAAAUCUGGACCUGAUUGUUCUGUUUUGCAUCAUUAUACUAUUGAACAUUUUAAGUUGAUGCAAGAAUGAUGACAUUUUUCUUUUUUUUAGCAUCAGAAAGUUGUUUUACUUGUUGUGGUUUCAUCCAGUGCUUGUAUUUCCUGGCAGUAAAGUGCCACGAUAUGCUUUAAAUAAAUGCAAAUAGUUACUGAGGGUGUGAAGGAGGAGGUAAACAUGUAGCUGUAGUUAAGGAAUAGAACAACUUCUUCUGCUGUUUCUGCCCAUAAAUGUUCUGUUUAUAAAAAAUAAUGAACAGAUAUUCUCAGGAAUAGUGUUUAUGAUGGGAGUAUUGUGCCUAAUUUGUGCACAGAAAUGAAUCUUUUGCCUUAUGAAUGAGCAAUUUGUAAUCUUGAAUUA